CGUAGUAACAUAGAGCUAAUACAUGCAAAUACUCCUGACCGCAAGGAAAGGAGGCACUUAUUAGAUUACAAACCAAUCCAUGUAAAAGUGGUAUAGGGUGAUUCAUAGUAAGGUUGGAAAUCGUAUGGGGGUAACUCUGACGAUAUAUCAUUCAAAUUUCUGCCCUAUCAACUUUGGAUGGUAGUAUAGAGGACUACCAUGGUGAUAACGGGUAACGGAGAAUUAGGGUUCGAUUCCGGAGAGGGGAGCCUGAGAAAUGGCUACCACUUCUAAGGAGGGCAGCAGGCGCGCAAAUUACCCAAUCCUAAUACUGGGAGGUAGUGACAAUAAAUAACAAUGCUGGAGUUUAUGCUCUGGUAAUUGGAAUGAGAACAAUUUAAACCCCUUAACGAGUAACCAUCAGAGGGCAAGUCUGGUGCCAGCAGCCGCGGUAAUUCCAGCUCUGAUAGCGUAUAUUAAAGUUGUUGCAGUUAAAAAGCUCGUAGUUGGAUUUUAGAGUAUAUUGAUAUGGUCUC
rnacentral:rRNA from 1 species